GUAAAAGUGCAGAAGAGCAGUAGCUAUGUAGGAGGUUUGCAGUAAUGAUAAAGUGCUCAAAGUAAAAGCAAACCAGAGAUUUAGAGUGGUUCGGUCAGUCUUGACCUACUCCACUUUUGGCUUCCUCCACCGACGAGGUCACCGACGUCAACUAGGGGCCUUCCUUCAAUAGGCGAAGGCCAACUGCCCUUUUACAGUUUCACUCCUUUUGACGGGAUCAGGAGACAACCCUUAUAGAACCUUUCUCUCCUCUCUUUACAACUCAAGACUUGAAGAACAGAAAGAGGAGAACUUUUGGACUUUACACAAAUUUGAGCUCUUAGAAUCACAGAAAAGAUCAAGAAUUCGGUGUAGGUCUGUAUCUUUUCAGUGUUGAAUGGGUGGGGUAUUUAUAGGCCCCAACCCAGUUCAAAUUUGGAGCUCAAAACGAUCAAAUCCCGGAAUUCCGGGAUCAGGCGGUUGCACCUCCUGACUGGAGAGGUUGCACCGCCUGGCAGAGCUCGAAGACUGAGCCUCUGGGCGGUGCCACCUCUGUCAGGGGCGGUUGCACCUCUCUGCCAGAGCUCAAAGACUAAGCUCAGG
rnacentral:lncRNA from 1 species